UGCUUCUUUGGUCACAGUGUUUCAUCACAGAAAAUAGCUGUGACGAAGACAUUGGCUGUGUGGUUUUCUCCUGACUUAUGACCUGGGCAGAGACAAGGCUGCUGACUUCUCCUUCAGCCACAGGGGAAUACAGUGGGAAGGAGGCUGUAAACCUGAAGAUCUCCUCACCCUAAAUCACAGAUGCUUUCCCAUCCAAAGUGCUGCAUCAACACCAAAUGCUCUAUAAGAGGCAGAGUAUACAAAAAGAUGGACCAUACAUGAACAGAAUUCUGAUCCACGACCCACAGCAGCCUGCUGAGGACAAUAAGCCACUCUCUACAACAUUACACACCGGUACGAGCUAACUACUAAAUCUUGGGACAAUCCAAUCUUACCAGCUGGUUCAAAAUGGCCAAGGAGACUCCCCUUCCCACUCCACAUGCUGGCCACCAUCCUUUGUGCUGGGGAGGUUGCAGAAAAUCAACAAUUGUGUCUGGCCUCAGAGCUGACUCUAGCAAGAAACAAGUAUCCUCGGGUGACCACUGUCAGCAAAAGAGACAGGAAAGAGGAUGGGAAAACGAUACAGACUAGAGAUGCCAUAUCCAGAAGCCUAGCUGGGUAAGCACAGCUAUAUGUGGUUGUUUUACCUUUUAGUGAAUAAAUGUCACUGUGGGGCGCAAAUUUUACCCCAAGGCUUUUUGGUCAGCCUGUACUGUGGGAACAUUUGUGUUUCUAAGGGGAGGCUUUGGUCUAACACGAGACUCAGUGUGGACAUCACCAGAAGAGUGCUUCUGUCUUACACAGCAGAUCUGACUAAAAUAGGAUUUUUGCCCAAGGCUACGACAUUAACAGGAAGGUCUGUAUUAAUGUGUAAUUUAACCCCAGGAACCACUUACUCUCUGCAAGCUACGGUGUCUUGGGAGCCAAUUGUUAAGGCAUUUGAAUAUAAUGAGGUGCCAAACUCAGAGCCAAUCUCAGUAAGUGAAAGAUAGAGAAAGCAGCUGCAUGUGUAGAUUAGAAAGGGGGCAGGCAUGAGCUCUGCCUGAUGAUAAAUCAUUUCAGUCUUAGCCAUGGGUAGAGACGCGGCCUCACGGGCACUGAGCUGAGUAAGUUACCUGUGGCAGAGAAAUUCUGCAUGCUGGGGUGGCCUUGGUGGGUGAUGUGGGAGCUGAAGAAAGGCACUCAGCUUCAUUUUUCUUCUUUUUUCAAAUUGUAUCCAGCUCUAUUAAAAACACCUUUCAUAAAACAAUCAUAACAUUUCACGUUGGACAUGGACAGCCAAUCAUUAACCGUAAAUAAGAACUUCAAAACUCCCUUCUUGUGUGGACUACUCAGACCAGAAAGCCUCUGUAAAGCCUGGUGAAGUCUUCAUUUGAUGCUUCGAAACAGGGGUGUUCAGAGUGAGGCCACACCUUCCACAUUAAAGAUGCUUUUAAUAUUUCACAAGCCAAUCCUGACUUUCAAGAAAUGAAA